UGGGGAAUAUUGGACAAUGGGCGAAAGCCUGAUCCAGCCAUGCCGCGUGUGUGAAGAAGGUCUUCGGAUUGUAAAGCACUUUAAGUUGGGAGGAAGGGCAGUAAGCGAAUACCUUGCUGUUUUGACGUUACCGACAGAAUAAGCACCGGCUAACUCUGUGCCAGCAGCCGCGGUAAUACAGAGGGUGCAAGCGUUAAUCGGAAUUACUGGGCGUAAAGCGCGCGUAGGUGGUUCGUUAAGUUGAAUGUGAAAGCCCCGGGCUCAACCUGGGAACUGCAUCCAAAACUGGCGAGCUAGAGUAGGGCAGAGGGUGGUGGAAUUUCCUGUGUAGCGGGGAAAUGCGUAGAUAUAGGAAGGAACAACAGUGGCGAAGGCGACCACCUGGGCUCAUACUGACACUGAGGUGCGAAAGCGUGGGGAGCAAACAGG
rnacentral:rRNA from 1 species